rnacentral:rRNA from 1 species
CAGGCUUAACACAUGCAAGUCGAACGCCCCGCAAGGGGAGUGGCAGACGGGUGAGUAACGCGUGGGAACGUGCCCUUCGCUUCGGAAUAGUCCCGGGAAACUGGGUUUAAUACCGAAUAUGCCGUAUUGGGAAAGAUUUAUCGGCGAAGGAUCGGCCCGCGUUAGAUUAGCUAGUUGGCGGUGUAAUGGACCACCAAGGCUACGAUCUAUAGCUGGUCUGAGAGGAUGAUCAGCCACACUGGGACUGAGACACGGCCCAGACUCCUACGGGAGGCAGCAGUUAGGAAUCUUGGACAAUGGGCGCAAGCCUGAUCCAGCCAUGCCGCGUGAGUGAUGAAGGCCCUAGGGUUGUAAAGCUCUUUCAGCGGGGAAGAUAAUGACGGUACCCGCAGAAGAAGCCCCGGCUAACUUCGUGCCAGCAGCCGCGGUAAUACGAAGGGGGCUAGCGUUGCUCGGAAUCACUGGGCGUAAAGCGCACGUAGGCGGAUUGUUAAGUCAGGGGUGAAAUCCUGGAGCUCAACUCCAGAACUGCCUUUGAUACUGGCGAUCUUGAGUCCGGAAGAGGUGAGUGGAACUCCGAGUGUAGAGGUGAAAUUCGUAGAUAUUCGGAAGAACACCAGUGGCGAAGGCGGCUCACUGGUCCGG